rnacentral:rRNA from 1 species
GAUGAACGCUGGCGGCGUGCCUAAUACAUGCAAGUCGAGCGAGCGGCGGACGGGUGAGUAAUGUCUGGGAAACUGCCUGAUGGAGGGGGAUAACUACUGGAAACGGUAGCUAAUACCGCAUACCAUCAGAUGUGCCCAGAUGGGAUUAGCUAGUAGGUGGGGUAAUGGCUUACCUAGGUGACGAUCCCUAGCUGGUCUGAGAGGAUGACCAGCCACAAUGGAACAGAGACACGGUCCAGACUCCUAAGGGAGGCAGCAGUGGGGAAUAUUGCACAAUGGGCGCAAGCCUGAUGCAGCCAUGCCGAGUGUGUGAAGAAGGCCUUCGGGUUGUAAAGCACUUUCAGCGAGGAGGCGUUACUCGCAGAGGAAGCACCGGCUAACUCCGUGCCAGCAGCCGCGGUAAUUC